rnacentral:tRNA from 1 species
UGUUCUGUGGCUGAGUUGGUUAAAGCGCCGGUCUAGCGAAUGCGGAGUCGUGAGUUCGAACUCACCAGGAUGA